rfam:Lupinus angustifolius cultivar Tanjil chromosome LG15, whole genome shotgun sequence.
AGGUGCGAUCUUACCAGCACUAAUGCACCGGAUCCCAUCAGAACUCCACAGUUAAUCGCGAUUGGGUGAGAGUAGUACUAGGAUGGGUGACCACCUGGGAAGUCCUUGUGUUACACCUC